rnacentral:rRNA from 1 species
UAGGGAAUCUUCCGCAAUGGGCGAAAGCCUGACGGAGCAACGCCGCGUGAGUGAUGAAGGUCUUCGGUUCGUAAAACUCUGUUAUUAGGGAAGAACAAAUGUGUAAGUAACUAUGCACGUCUUGACGGUACCUAAUCAGAAAGCCACGGCUAACUACGUGCCAGCAGCCGCGGUAAUACGUAGGUGGCAAGCGUUAUCCGGAAUUAUUGGGCGUAAAGCGCGCGUAGGCGGUUUUUUAAGUCUGAUGUGAAAGCCCACGGCUCAACCGUGGAGGGUCAUUGGAAACUGGAAAACUUGAGUGCAGAAGAGGAAAGUGGAAUUCCAUGUGUAGCGGUGAAAUGCGCAGAGAUAUGGAGGAGCACCAGUGGCGAAGGCGACUUUCUGGUCUGUAACUGACGCUGAUGUGCGAAAGCGUGGGGAUCAAACAGG